UACAGAGGGUGCAAGCGUUGUUCGGAAUUAUUGGGCGUAAAGCGCGUGUAGGCGGCUUUGCAAGUCGGGUGUGAAAGCCCUCAGCUCAACUGAGGAAGUGCGCCCGAAACUGCAGAGCUUGAGUACCGGAGAGGAUGGCGGAAUUCCCCAAGUAGAGGUGAAAUUCGUAGAUAUGGGGAGGAACACCGGUGGCGAAGGCGGCCAUCUGGACGGAUACUGACGCUGAGGUGCGAAAGCGUGGGGAGCAAACAGG
rnacentral:rRNA from 1 species